rnacentral:rRNA from 1 species
UACGUAGGGGGCUAGCGUUGUCCGGAAUCAUUGGGCGUAAAGGGCGCGUAGGCGGCCAUGCGUGUCUUCCGUGAAAUCCCUCGGCUUAACUGAGGACGUGCGGAAGAAACUGCAAGGCUUGAGUCCGGGAGAGGGGGGUGGAAUUCCCAGUGUAGCGGUGAAAUGCGUAGAUAUUGGGAGGAACACCGGUGGCGAAGGCGGCCCCCUGGACCGGUACUGACGCUGAGGCGCGAAAGCGUGGGUAGCAAACGGG